rnacentral:tRNA from 1 species
GCUGUUAUAGCUCAGUGGUAGAGCACUUCCUUGGUAAGGAAGAGGUCGCGGGUUCAACUCCCGCUAACAGCU